CAGCAGCCGCGGUAAUACGAAGGGUGCAAGCGUUAAUCGGAAUUACUGGGCGUAAAGGGCGCGUAGGCGGGUCUUUAAGUCAGGGGUGAAGUCCCAAGGCUCAAUCUUGGAACUGCCUUUGAUACUGGAGAUCUUGAGUCCGGGAGAGGUGAGUGGAACUGCGAGUGUAGAGGUGAAAUUCGUAGAUAUUCGCAAGAACACCAGUGGCGAAGGCGGCUCACUGGCCCGGUACUGACGCUGAGGCGCGAAAGCGUGGGGAGCAAACAGGAUUAGAUACCCCGGUAGUCCCUGUCUCUUAUAC
rnacentral:rRNA from 1 species